UCCCUGGUGGUCCAGUGGUUAAGACUCUGAGCUUUCAAUGCAAGGGGUGCAGGUUUAAUCCCUGAUCAGGGAA
rfam:TPA: Bos taurus chromosome 25, whole genome shotgun sequence.